rnacentral:rRNA from 1 species
UACGAAGGGGGCGAGCGUUGUUCGGAUUUACUGGGCGUAAAGCGUGCGCAGGCGGUUUUGUAAGCCAGAUGUGAAAUCCCCGGGCUCAACCUGGGAAUGGCAUUUGGGACUGCAAGGCUGGAGUGCGGCAGAGGAGACUGGAAUUCCUGGUGUAGCAGUGAAAUGCGUAGAUAUCAGGAGGAAUACCGAUGGCGAAGGCAGGUCUCUGGGCUGACACUGACGCUCAUGCACGAAAGCGUGGGGAGCAAACAGG